UUCCACAGAGGGGUUAAUACGGAGGGUGCAAGAGAAUAGGGAGAGGACAGGAGAGCUUUCCAGCCUCCUUCCUUCCAAGGAUUCUGGGUGGAAAUGGCAGACACAGUUCUCUUCCUGUUCCUCCUGCUCUUGAGGCUCACGGUGGGCAGGCACAGGGACACUGGAGAUGUGCCACAGGAAAGCUGUAGACAGACGCCCAGGGAAAGACGUCCAGCAUCUGAGCACAAAAGGCAGAUGGUCACAGACAGCAGAGAGAUACUUCGUGAGGUAUAGCCGAUUAUCCCCACUUUUCAGCUAAGGACACAGAAUCUGAGAACCUUGCCUGAGGUCCACAGCUAGUCCAUGGCGGCUGGAUUGGAAACUCGCCCUGCUGACUCCAGGGACCUGAUAAGUUCUUAUUGGCCCCCAUCUUCCAACCCUGGUGCACUGGGGAUUAAGUUUCCAACACGGGAACUUGGGGGGACACACUCAAAUUGUUUGCCAUACUCCAAUUGUUUAACUUUCCACCUGCAGAGCGACUGUCUUCUCAAGUAGACCAUCUGUUUCUCCUUGGCAGCUGCUCUGUGAAUUGGUGAGGUCCCUGGGAGAGCCUCCUUCUGACCAGCAUUGGGCUGCCCAAGCAGAGGCCCCUAGAUAAUGAGGCAGUCUCCCUCUGGUCACCAGAUUGCACACCAGAUUAACAGAUGAUGCUACUGCUUCCCGCAACUUGCGAUAAACAACUGACUUUUUGACCAAUGCACACCUAAUGAAAAUAUCAUAUUUUUUGGUAUCAUCUAAUUUCAUGACUCAUAAUAUAGUCUCUCCUAACCUAUCAUGAUAUAUCUCUUUGUGUAGGGCCCAUGAGUGGUUCCGUUUCUCCUUUUGAAAUUAGAAGAUCAAUUUUAACCAGAUCAAAGAGGCUUUUUCUUCUUUACUUUCCUAUUGCAUUUUGGCACCAAAAACAGCUCAGUGUAGACAUGGUAGAUAUUUGCAGAGUGGAUGGAUGAAUGUGGGUUGCUCCUGGACAGUGCCCACCUUUCUCUGCGCAGUCAGGACUCUUCAGGCCAGAUGUGCAGUGGUGAUUUUGCCUUUCUCACAGAUGGAAAAGCUCCCUUGGAAUACUGAAGAUACAUAUAAGAAUGUGUACUGUUUGCUUGUUUUCCUGGGUAGUAGAGAGCCAUCUUGUGCUAACUUGAUCUCUUUGUGUUCCCUUUCACUGAUAUGCAACUUAAAGGACCAGUUUCGUUGAACUCUUUACAAUGAGGGAACGGAUGAGCUCUGACACCAGUUCAAAGGGCAAGCCAAGGAAAGGCCACACGAGUAGAUCAGGAAUGUUGGAAUGAACACCUGACUGGCUGCAACCCUGGCUUCUUCCACAGAGGGAGAGGGAAUUCAGUGGAACCUCUGCCAGCCAGAACUUUGUACCUGUCUAUACACAAGAAUUACUCCAUAUUGCUAGGCAACAGGAGGAAGUCAAUGAGGAAAGGGCAGCCUCUUCCAAAAGCAGGCUGAAAUGAUGGAAUUCCCUGUGGAAAAUAAAAAGUGAAAUUGGGUUAUGAAGCCACACUUUAUAGAGAACAAAUUUUGGAUGGGCUUAAAAAAGUAAGAUAUUAAAAUGGAACGUUUAAAACCUUUAGAAGAAAAUAUCUUCGUGGACUUAAGGUAAGGUAGCAAAUUUGGAAAAACCCCAUAUACAAAGAAUGAUCCACAGGUUUGACUAUAUUUAGAAUAUCAUCGAGAGACUCUCGAUUUAAAAUGUUGCACCUUGCACAUACCCAUUAAAGGGCCCACAUUCGGAAUUUAUAAAUUGCUCCUACAAAUCAGAUCAGAAAAAGAUCAACAAUCCCAAAGUGUGUGUGUGUGUGUGUGUGUGUGUGUGUGUGUGUGUGUGGUGAUGGUGGUGGUAGUUGGGUGGGGAGUGGGGGAGCUAUAGGAGGAAACUGGAAGUAAAAUCACCUGGGAGCUGACUCUGGCUGCCCCUUCAGUGCCUCUCAGAAGAGCACUGCCACCAAAACCAAGCAAAGGAAGCUCCAGGGACAAUUGGCCCCAGAGAUUCACCCCAAACCAAGUUCAUCCCCACCCUGGCUCCAUGUCUGAUUCCUCAGGACCCCAGACCAACCCAGAGACCCUAACAAUCGCAGUGGCUCCAAAAACUGUCAUUGCAGAGGCCAAUUCUGCUCCAUCAUGAAAACCAGGAUCGAAUUCAUUCGUUCUUCGUUCAUUCAAUCUUUAGCACCCACUCUGCGCUGGGUACUGAGGAUCUGAAAGAACACCAGCUCCUAGAGCUUCCUCUUCAAGGACCAACGAAGGUGUCAAAAGCUAAUCACAAAUGGGCACAAUCCCAGGUGGAGACAAACACCAAGGAAGAGCUCUGGGGCCUUGCUGGUGCUCACCUUUGGUCAACCUGUCAACCACACCCAUAGGACCCAAUCUGGGAUCCAUGUCACAUUCAUGGCCAUGAUGAAUUCUUCGCCCCAGUCUAUCCCUGUUGGGCUUUAUACAUCCGGUGACCUCUGCCAGUUGGUCCUGCUCGGCUACUCAGCUGAAAAACUACACUCACGGCUCUUUCCUUCUGUCCCCGGCUACAGGCACAAGGAAGCCACACUGUUCCCACCUGGGCUGUGUGGGUGUCUGCUCCUCAUCAAAGAUGUGAGGAUGCUCCCAAGACUUAGAGAAAAGCCCUCGAUGACCUUUAAUGGGGUGAGCGGGGAGCUCGACGGGACCCCGCCAGGGAACCCCUGCCCCCCUGCUCCUCUGUCCUCUUUCUUCAGGGCUUUUCCUUAACCAGAGGCAGAGGAAGCCAGAGGACAAGGCUGCUCCACAGUCAGCUUCCUGGGACAGCCAGCAGAGAAGAUGGAGAGGGGACCCCGAGGGCUCCCAGGACAUCUGGUGAAACAAUACAAAGCGAAACAGAGUGAACAGAUUACGAAACAAGAUCCACCAUACGAUGCCCCCUCUCUUAAAUGAACACCAGGCAGUGGUCUACCCGAGCUAAAAAUUUCAGUAUGGUUAAUUUUUAUAUAAAAUUUCCUUUUUGUAUUUGUUGACUUAAAAAUGUUAUACAAA